rnacentral:rRNA from 1 species
UACGUAGGGGGCUAGCGUUGUCCGGAUUUAUUGGGCGUAAAGGGUGCGUAGGCGGCGCGGUAAGUCGGGUGUGAAAUCUUGGAGCUUAACUCCGAAACUGCAUUCGAUACUGCCGUGCUUGAGGACUGGAGAGGAGACUGGAAUUUACGGUGUAGCGGUGAAAUGCGUAGAUAUCGGAAGGAACACCUGUGGCGAAAAGCGGCUCACUGGACCAUAACUGACGCUGAGGCGCGAAAGCUAGGGGAGCAAACAGG